AUUUGUAUAUUUUUGUGUUUGUUGCCUGUGAUGUUGGUGUUAUAUCCAGGAAAACAUCAAGACCAAUGUCAAGGAAAAUUUUCCCUAUUUUAUAAUAGAUUUAUGGUUUCAGGUCUUAUGUGAAGGAGACCUGGCAUGAAAUGUGGUUGUGCUUGCACGCGAGGCAUCCACAAGACUGGCUGGACUUUUCUGCAAACAGAAUGUUCUGCCUGGUGAACUCACAAGGCCCCAGGGAAAACAUUGCUUGCAAACAAGGAUGUUUUAUCAGUUCCUCAAAAGGAACAAGCCUGGGGCCUUGGGAGUUUGAAACAUUAUGAAGGAACCUGUUAUAAACAGAUGUGUAAGGGAAAGGUCAUUAUUGUGGGAUGCUUGCGCAGGCUUAGGUAGCUGACUCACUGCUUUGGCAAAAGGCGGGCUUUGUUUAGAGGCUAUAAGAAUAAAGAGCUCGAGGAACUCGAGGAGACUACACAGCAACCAGUGUUCGUGUUUUCAUUUUGUUGGCGGCAUCUGGCAUCCAACGUGGGGCCCAACGAAACUGAAAGGUCUUCCGGCGCUGGAGAAAACAACAACAACUAAAAAGGAUCGUUAAGACCGUUGCGCAUGCUGUCCGUCACAAUGCUAACAAAAGAGGGGGAGAUGAAGGAGACCUGGCAUGAAAUGUGGUUGUGCUUGCACGCGAGGCAUCCACAAGACUGGCUGGACUUUUCUGCAAACAGAAUGUUCUGCCUGGUGAACUCACAAGGCCCCAGGGAAAACAUUGCUUGCAAACAAGGAUGUUUUAUCAGUUCCUCAAAAGGAACAAGCCUGGGGCCUUGGGAGUUUGAAACAUUAUGAAGGAACCUGUUAUAAACAGAUGUGUAAGGGAAAGGUCAUUAUUGUGGGAUGCUUGCGCAGGCUUAGGUAGCUGACUCACUGCUUUGGCAAAAGGCGGGCUUUGUUUAGAGGCUAUAAGAAUAAAGAGCUCGAGGAACUCGAGGAGACUACACAGCAACCAGUGUUCGUGUUUUCAUUUUGUUGGCGGCAUCUGGCAUCCAACGUGGGGCCCAACGAAACUGAAAGGGUAAGCACCCUGGAAAAGUGAAAGGGGGACUUUCGGGAAUAGGUAAAUCUCGAUGCAGGGCUCGACAAGACCGAAAGGGUAAGCACCCCGGAAAAGUGAAAGGGGGACUUUCGGGAAUAAAUAAAUCAUGGGGAAUUCUAAUUUUCUAAGGUCACAGUAUUUAGACCUCAUAAAGGGACUCCUUAAGUCCAUCGGGGAAAAAUGUCCUCUCGGCGCUCGAAUGAAUUAUUUCUGCAUAUUGAUUGCCAUUGUUAUUGGUUUCCUCAUCAGACAAAGGCUCAGUUAAAUUUGAGGGAGUGGAAGCAAGUUCAAAAGGAGUUGCGGAAGCAACACCAGUGGGGAAACGUUAUGUCUCUUAAACUCUGGACUCUCUGUAGCGCCAUUACUCAGGCGCUUGAAAUUUUUGAAACAGAUAGUGAGGUUAACUCCCGUCGUAGUGAGGCUCAUUAUGAGGACGUUCCGGUGGAAGAAAAAGAUACAAAGGAGGGAUCUUGCCCUCCCCCUCCACCGGAGCCUCCUGAUGAGACUUCUGAGUCUAGCUCAGAUUCUGAGGAGGAUAGUGAUGAGGAAGAAGAAAAAGAUAAAUUGAUUUUCAAAAUGGCUACUGCCUUGAAACCUCAGCGACAGGGCACUUGCUUUAAUUGUGGGCAGUUUCUGGACAUUUGACUGUAUGAACUGAUAAUUUUACCUUAAAUGUGUCUCAAAGUUCUGGACUUUUUCAGGUUCAUCUGCAUAAGAAUAAAAC
ensembl:lncRNA